rnacentral:rRNA from 1 species
GAUGAACGCUGGCGGCGUGCCUAAUACAUGCAAGUCGAGCGAACAGACGAGGAGCUUGCUCCUCUGACGUUAGCGGCGGACGGGUGAGUAACACGUGGAUAACCUACCUAUAAGACUGGGAUAACUUCGGGAAACCGGAGCUAAUACCGGAUAAUAUAUUGAACCGCAUGGUUCAAUAGUGAAAGACGGUUUUGCUGUCACUUAUAGAUGGAUCCGCGCCGCAAUAGCUAGUUGGUAAGGUAACGGCUUACCAAGGCAACGAUGCGUAGCCGACCUGAGAGGGUGAUCGGCCACACUGGAACUGAGACACGGUCCAGACUCCUACGGGAGGCAGCAGUAGGGAAUCUUCCGCAAUGGGCGAAAGCCUGACGGAGCAACGCCGCGUGAGUGAUGAAGGUCUUCGGAUCGUAAAACUCUGUUAUUAGGGAAGAACAAAUGUGUAAGUAACUAUGCACGUCUUGACGGUACCUAAUCAGAAAGCCACGGCUAACUACGUG